AUUGAACGCUGGCGGGAUGCUUUACACAUGCAAGUCGAACGGCAGCACGGACUUCGGUCUGGUGGCGAGUGGCGAACGGGUGAGUAACAUAUCGGAACGUAUCCAAUAAUGGGGGAUAACGAGUCGAAAGAUUCGCUAAUACCGCAUACGCCCUACGGGGGAAAGCUGGGGACCUUCGGGCCUGGCGUUAAUGGAGCGGCCGAUAUCUGAUUAGCGAGUUGGUGAGGUAAAGGCUCACCAAGGCGACGAUCAGUAGCUGGUCUGAGAGGACGACCAGCCACACUGGAACUGAGACAGGGGCCAGACUCCUACGGGAGGCAGCAGUGGGGAAUUUUGGACAAUGGGCGCAAGCCUGAUCCAGCCAUUCCGCGUGAGUGAAGAAGGCCUUCGGGUUGUAAAGCUCUUUCGCAAGGGAAGAAAACUUAGCCACUAACAUUGGUUGAGGUUGACGGUACCUUGAUAAGAAGCACCGGCUAACUACGUGCCAGCAGCCGCAGUAA
rnacentral:rRNA from 1 species